rnacentral:misc_RNA from 1 species
CCAAACUUGGUCAUUUAGAGGAAGUAAAAGUCGUAACAAGGUUUCCGUAGGUGAACCUGCGGAAGGAUCAUUAACAAGUUGAAUUGAAGUUGUUCUGGUCUUUUGGGGCAAGUGAACACUUCUCUCUCAUCCAUCUUACCCCUGUGCACUUUUGAGAGGUUGACUGUUUGAUUAUAAUAACUAAAGUUGGUCCACGACGGCAGUUUUGAAUCAGUGGAAUCUAAGUUGGAAACAAUGGUGAUUCUAAUGGUCUCCUCUUAUUUUACACCAUACUACAAAGUAUUAGAAAGUCUUAUUGCUUGAUGCAAAUAAAUACAACUUUCAGCAACGGAUCUCUUGGCUCUCGCAUCGAUGAAGAACGCAGC